AUACGGAGGAUGCGAGCGUUAUCCGGAUUCAUUGGGUUUAAAGGGUGCGUAGGCGGAAUAAUAAGUCAGUGGUGAAAGCCUGCGGCUUAACCGUAGAAUUGCCAUUGAUACUGUUAUUCUUGAGUAUAGUUGAGGUGGGCGGAAUGUGUAAUGUAGCGGUGAAAUGCUUAGAUAUUACACAGAACACCAAUUGCGAAGGCAGCUCACUAAGCUGUUACUGACGCUGAGGCACGAAAGCGUGGGGAGCAAACAGGAUUAGAUACCCUGGUAGUCCACGCUGUAAACGAUGAUCACUCGUUGUUGGCGAUACACCGUCAGCGACUGAGCGAAAGCAAUAAGUGAUCCACCUGGGGAGUACGGCGGCAACGCUGAA
rnacentral:rRNA from 1 species